rnacentral:rRNA from 1 species
UACGGGGGGGGUAAGCGUUGUUCGGAAUUACUGGGCGUAAAGGGCUCGUAGGCGGCCAACUAAGUCAGGGGUGAAAUCCUGGAGCUCAACUCCAGAACUGCCUUUGAUACUGGCGAUCUUGAGUCCGGAAGAGGUGAGUGGAACUCCGAGUGUAGAGGUGAAAUUCGUAGAUAUUCGGAAGAACACCAGUGGCGAAGGCGGCUCACUGGUCCGGUACUGACGCUGAGGUGCGAAAGCGUGGGGAGCAAACAGG